AUGUCGAAGCUCGCCAACCAGCCGCCGCCGCCAUCGUCGGAUAUGGAUGUUGACUCCGCAGCCGCGGUCGAGGAGAAGAAUCCCGUCAGGUUCUCCAUCAAUGUGCUGGAACUCAUGAGGGAGGCGCAGAUGCAGCACGGCCUUCGCCACGGCGACUACACACGGUACAGGAGAUACUGUACUGCGCGUCUGAGAAGGCUAUACAAGUCUCUGAAGUUUUUGCAUGGCCGUGGUAAAUAUACCCGGAGGAAUAUAACAGAGUCAACAGUGACUGAUGUGAGGUUUCUACAUGUGGUAUUUUAUAUGGCUGAGAGAGCAUGGAGUCAUGCUAUGGAGAAGAAAACUGCUGGUCCAAAUGCACCGCAGCGCAUCUACAUGCUGGGUCGAUUUAGGAAGGCAGUCAAAUGGGCGGCACUUUUUUCACAGUUAUGUUCUAUAAAAGGAGAUUCCAGGACAUCUUUGGAAGCUGAGGCAUAUGCUUCAUAUAUGAAAGGAACUUUGCUUUUUGAGCAAGAGAAGAACAUAGAGGCAGCAAUGUUGAAUUUCAAGAAUACCAGGACUGUAUACGAGGAGCUUGGGAAGUAUGGCAGCAUAGAAAAUCAACUUUUAUGCCGUCAGCGCAUUGAGGAAGUGGAGCCUAUGAUUGGAUUCUGUUCACGCAAACUUGGUGGAUCUGCUCUGCAAGAACAUGAUCUCCUAGAUAUGGAAAAGGAGGGGCCUGCUUAUGACCUUUUUAAAGCUAAGAUUGAGGCUGUAUUAUCUGAGACAAGGUCACAGCAGGCGGCUUCUAUGACUGAGUUUAACUGGCUUGGUCGCAGAUUUCCAAUUACCAGUGCAAAGACCCGUGUCUCCAUAUUAAAAGCUCAGCAGCUGGAGAGGGAUUUAAAUGGCGCAGCCACAGAACCAAUCCCAGCAGACAAAAAACUUGCUAUUUUUGAUAAACUAUUCUCUGCAUACCACGAAGCUCGAAGCUGCAUCCGCAAUGAUUUGGCUUCUGCUGGCAAUGCUGAGAAUAUAAGAGACGAAUUGAAUGGUCUUGACAAGGCCGUCAGUGCAGUUUUAGGAUCGAGGACCAUAGAACGUAACCAGUUACUUGUUAGUAUUGCUAAAAGUAAGUUUGCAAAGCAUCGGGAUGAGAAGAAUGAGAAAAUUACAAAGCCGGAAGAACUUGUUAGGCUAUAUGAUCUGCUAAUUCAGAAUACAACAGACCUAACUGAUUUAGUUAGCUCAGGAAGGGAUAAAAACGAAGAAGAGAACGCUUUUGUUCAUGAGUAUGAGCUGAAAGAUUUGGCAUUCCGAGCUGAGAGAUGUUUCUAUUUGGCAAAGUCAUAUAGUUCAGUCAGUAAAAGGGCCGAAGCCUAUGCGUUAUUCUGUUAUGCACGUUCCCUUGCUGAUUCUGCACUGCAAGAACUGGCCAACAGUCCUCACAAGGUACUUGAGUCUAACUCAAAUGCUCUUACUUUACAGACCUUAAUCCAAGAUCUCGAGGCUCUAUCUUUCAAUUGUAGAUCCAAUAGUUGCAUUGAACAUGCAACAGGUAUUAUGGAGGAUGAGAGUGCUCCUGAAAAACUUUCUAAAGGAGUCUCAACUAUAUCACUUGGCGACGAUAAAAGAAAGGAUACUAAAUACCUCCUUGAUAUCCUAGGGAGCUAUGAAUCAGCACUUGGUGAGCAAAGCGCCAAAGCGCCAUGUCGCAUUUCACAGUUCCCACCACCGUUCCAAUCAGUUCCCUGCAACCCAAUUGUUCUUGACAUGGCAUAUAACGCAAUCGAAUUCCCGAACCUUGAGAACAGGAUGAAGAAGGAAAAGAAGGGUCUCCUCCGCAGAUUCUGGGGGUGA
rnacentral:rRNA from 1 species